rnacentral:tRNA from 1 species
GCGGGUGUCAUCAAGGAGAUGCAACAGCCUUCCAAGCUGUGAAGAUCGGUUCGAUUCCGGUCAUCCGCU